rnacentral:tRNA from 1 species
GGGAGGUUAGUUAAGUGGCAUAACUGCGGUCUCCAAAACCGCUGUCGGGGGUCCGAUUCCUCCACCUCCCG